UACGGAGGGAGCUAGCGUUGUUCGGAAUUACUGGGCGUAAAGCGCACGUAGGCGGCUUUGUAAGUUAGAGGUGAAAGCCCGGGGCUCAACUCCGGAACUGCCUUUAAGACUGCAUCGCUUGAAUCCAGGAGAGGUGAGUGGAAUUCCGAGUGUAGAGGUGAAAUUCGUAGAUAUUCGGAAGAACACCAGUGGCGAAGGCGGCUCACUGGACUGGUAUUGACGCUGAUGCGCGAAAGCGUGGGGAGCAAACAGG
rnacentral:rRNA from 1 species